rnacentral:rRNA from 1 species
CCUACGGGUGGCAGCAGUAAGGAAUAUUGGUCAAUGGAGGAAACUCUGAACCAGCCAUCCCGCGUGAAGGAUGAAGGGGCUCUGCCUUGUAAACUUCUUUUGUCUGGGGCGAAAAAGCUCGAUUUAUCGAGAACUGACGGUACCAGAAGAAUAAGCACCGGCUAACUCCGUGCCAGCAGCCGCGGUAAUACGGAGGGUGCCAGCGUUACCGGGAAUCACGGGGGCGUAAGCGUGUGUAGACGUCUUAGGUGAAAGGCUGUGGCUUAACCAUGUAAUUGCCAUUGAUACUGCAGAGCUUGAAUGAGGUUGAGGUUGGCGGAAUGUGACAUGUAGCGGUGAAAUGCUUAGAUAUGUCAUGGAACACCGAUUGCGAAGGCAGCUGACUGGACCUAUAUUGACGCUGAGGCACGAAAGCGUGGGGAGCGAACAGGAUUAGAUACCCUGGUAGUC